UACGGAGGGUGCAAGCGUUAUCCGGAUUCACUGGGUUUAAAGGGUGCGUAGGCGGACAGGUAAGUCAGUGGUGAAAUCUCCGAGCUUAACUCGGAAACUGCCGUUGAUACUAUUUGUCUUGAAUAUUGUGGAGGUAAGCGGAAUAUGUCAUGUAGCGGUGAAAUGCUUAGAUAUGACAUAGAACACCAAUUGCGAAGGCAGCUGGCUACACGAAUAUUGACACUGAUGCACGAAAGCGUGGGGAUCAAACAGG
rnacentral:rRNA from 1 species